GACGGGGGAUGCAAGCGUUAUCCGGAAUUAUUGGGCGUAAAGCGUCCGCAGGUGGCUGUUCAAGUCUGCUGUCAAAGCGCAGAGCUUAACUCUGUACAGGCGGUGGAAACUGAAGAGCUAGAGUAUGGUAGGGGUAGAGGGAAUUCCCGGUGUAGCGGUGAAAUGCGUAGAUAUCGGGAAGAACACCAGUGGCGAAAGCGCUCUACUGGGCCAUAACUGACACUGAGGGACGAGAGCUAGGGGAGCGAAAGGG
rnacentral:rRNA from 1 species